GCCUCUAGUUAGUCUAGGCCUCUGAUUUCAGCUUGAAUAUACACUUUGCUCUUUUGGAGAAACAGAGACCUCUGCCUAAGUGAAACAGGACAUGUAAAGGGAGGAGGAAUACCAGGCUGAGAUUUCAUACCUUUGUAAUCUCUAAAGAAGGUUGUAUUGUCUCUACAACAAGGAAAAAGUUGAAGGACAAAGGGCAUAAAAUUCUUUUUUUCCAACAUAAAUCUUUGUCUGUUUUAUAGUGUUGUCUGUAAUUUCAAGGUGAAAGUGGGCCCUCCCUCAGCCCCGUCACACUCUAGAUGCAUCCCCAGAUUCCCCCCCGUCACCGUCACACUCUACAUGCAUCCCCAGGUUUCCCAGUCACCGUCACACUCUAGAUGCAUCCCCAGGUUUCCCAGUCACCGUCACACUCUAGAUGCAUCCCCAGGUUUCCCAGUCACCGUCACACUCUGCGUGCAUCCCCAGGUUCCCCCGUCACCGUCACACUCUACGUGCAUCCUCAGGUUUCCCAGUCACCGUCACACUCUACAUGCAUCCCCAGGUUCCCCAGUCACCGUCACACUCUACGUGCAUCCCCAGGUUUCCCAGUCACCGUCACACUCUAGAUGCAUCCCCAGGUUCCCCCGUCACCGUCACACUCUACAUGCAUCCCCAGGUUCCCCAGUCACCGUCACACUCUACAUGCAUCCCCAGGUUCCCCCAGUCACCGUCACACUCUACAUGCAUCCCCAGGUUCCCCAGUCACCGUCACACUCUACAUGCAUCCCCAGGUUCCCCCAGUCACCG
rnacentral:lncRNA from 1 species